rnacentral:rRNA from 1 species
UCGUGAGGCAUGCUGGAGGUAUCAGAAGUGCGAAUGCUGACAUAAGUAACGAUAAAGCGGGUGAAAAGCCCGCUCGCCGGAAGACCAAGGGUUCCUGUCCAACGUUAAUCGGGGCAGGGUGAGUCGACCCCUAAGGCGAGGCCGAAAGGCGUAGUCGAUGGGAAACGGGUUAAUAUUCCCGUACUUGGUGUUACUGCGAAGGGGGGACGGAGAAGGCUAUGUUGGCCGGGCGACGGUUGUCCCGGUUUAAGCGUGUAGGUGUGUGUUCCAGGUAAAUCCGGUUCACUUUAACACUGAGGCGUGACGACGAGGCACUACGGUGCUGAAGCAACAAAUGCCCUGCUUCCAGGAAAAGCCUCUAAGCAUCAGGUAACAUCAAAUCGUACCCCAAACCGACACAGGUGGUCAGGUAGAGAAUACCAAGGCGCUUGAGAGAACUCGGGUGAAGGAACUAGGCAAAAUGGUGCCGUAACUUCGGGAGAAGGCACGCUGACACGUAGGUGAAGUGAUUUACUCAUGGAGCUGAAGUCAGUCGAAGAUACCAGCUGGCUGCAACUGUUUAUUAAAAACACAGCACUGUGCAAACACGAAAGUGGACGUAUACGGUGUGACGCCUGCCCGGUGCCGGAAGGUUAAUUGAUGGGGUCAGCGCAAGCGAAGCUCCUGAUCGAAGCCCCGGUAAACGGCGGCCGUAACUAUAACGGUCCUAAGGUAGCGAAAUUCCUUGUCGGGUAAGUUCCGACCUGCACGAAUGGCGUAAUGAUGGCCAGGCUGUCUCCACCCGAGACUCAGUGAAAUUGAACUCGCUGUGAAGAUGCAGUGUACCCGCGGCAAGACGGAAAGACCCCGUGAACCUUUACUAUAGCUUGACACUGAACAUUGAGCCUUGAUGUGUAGGAUAGGUGGGAGGCUUUGAAGCGUGGACGCCAGUCUGCGUGGAGCCGACCUUGAAAUACCACCCUUUAAUGUUUGAUGUUCUAACGUGGACCCGUGAUCCGGGUUGCGGACAGUGUCUGGUGGGUAGUUUGACUGGGGCGGUCUCCUCCUAAAGAGUAACGGAGGAGCACGAAGGUUGGCUAAUCCUGGUCGGACAUCAGGAGGUUAGUGCAAUGGCAUAAGCCAGCUUGACUGCGAGCGUGACGGCGCGAGCAGGUGCGAAAGCAGGUCAUAGUGAUCCGGUGGUUCUGAAUGGAAGGGCCAUCGCUCAACGGAUAAAAGGUACUCCGGGGAUAACAGGCUGAUACCGCCCAAGAGUUCAUAUCGACGGCGGUGUUUGGCACCUCGAUGUCGGCUCAUCACAUCCUGGGGCUGAAGUAGGUCCCAAGGGUAUGGCUGUUCGCCAUUUAAAGUGGUACGCGAGCUGGGUUUAGAACGUCGUGAGACAGUUCGGUCCCUAUCUGCCGUGGGCGCUGGAGAACUGAGGGGGGCUGCUCCUAGUACGAGAGGACCGGAGUGGACGCAUCACUGGUGUUCGGGUUGUCAUGCCAAUGGCACUGCCCGGUAGCUAAAUGCGGAAGAGAUAAGUGCUGAAAGCAUCUAAGCACGAAACUUGCCCCGAGAUGAGUUCUCCCUGAGACUUAAAGUCUCCUGAAGGAACGUUGAAGACGACGACGUUGAUAGGCCGGGUGUGUAAGCGCAGCGAUGCGUUGAGCUAACCGGUACUAAUGAACCGUGAGGCUUAACCUUACAAC